GUCUAUGACCAUACCACCCUGAACGCGCCCGAUCUCGUCUGAUCUCGGAAGCUAAGCAGGGUCAGGCCUGGUUAGUACUUGGAUGGGAAAAAUGUGGAAAAAAUACUUUUAAAAUCU
ensembl:rRNA 5S_rRNA 5S ribosomal RNA